UCCCCUUUCUGCAGCCGCUUACAGGAUGAGAACACCAGGAGAAGCAUCUAUAAAUAUCAGCCUGGCUCACCGGGAAGAUGGUCAGAGGCAUGGAGAAUCCAGUUGAAAGGAGGGUUGUAACUAGUGCGAAGAGAUAAACCGAGAGCAGGACAAGCUGUGGAGGAGGGCGAGGGGAGAGGAUGCUGGGGCAGCUGCAGCCAGAAGAACUUGUGGAGCAGGAAGUAUCGAAUAGAGCGUGCAUGAGGAGCCCGAGACGACCAGAUCAGAUUGAAAUAGGAAAAGGCAGCUCUGCCUGCUCUGAGAGUCUCUUUGGUGCCAGAGAAGAGGGAGAUGGCAGGCUGAGAGGAGAACGAGAUGGACGGCUGGAGCAAAUAGUGUCUAAUGAACCAUGCUGGAAACACUGUCAGAAGCAAAGAGCUGGAUCUGCAGGUCUGCAAGAGCAGAGGAGUGCUGGCUGCUUGCUUUUUGCACACAGAGAGAUCCUACUUCACUCCCUUGGGCCUAAGAGGAGAACUGCAAGACCAGCAACAGUCCCCACUCCAGGUGGUCACUCUUCAACGAGGCAGGAGGAGUUUCCAAUGGCUGCACUGCAGAAGACAACUUACUCAUGCUGGCAGGAAGCAAAACGUGAAAUCCACUAG
rnacentral:lncRNA from 1 species